UGGCGGCGUGCCUAAUACAUGCAAGUCGAGCGAACUGAUUAGAAGCUUGCUUCUAUGACGUUAGCGGCGGACGGGUGAGUAACACGUGGGCAACCUGCCUGUAAGACUGGGAUAACUUCGGGAAACCGAAGCUAAUACCGGAUAGGAUCUUCUCCUUCAUGGGAGAUGAUUGAAAGAUGGUUUCGGCUAUCACUUACAGAUGGGCCCGCGGUGCAUUAGCUAGUUGGUGAGGUAACGGCUCACCAAGGCAACGAUGCAUAGCCGACCUGAGAGGGUGAUCGGCCACACUGGGACUGAGACACGGCCCAGACUCCUACGGGAGGCAGCAGUAGGGAAUCUUCCGCAAUGGACGAAAGUCUGACGGAGCAACGCCGCGUGAGUGAUGAAGGCUUUCGGGUCGUAAAACUCUGUUGUUAGGGAAGAACAAGUACAAGAGUAACUGCUCGUACCUUGACGGUACCUAACCAGAAAGCCACGGCUAACUACGUGCCAGCAGCCGCGGUAAUACGUAGGUGGCAAGCGUUAUCCGGAAUUAUUGGGCGUAAAGCGCGCGCAGGCGGUUUCUUAAGUCUGAUGUGAAAGCCCACGGCUCAACCGCGGAGGGUCAUUGGAAACUGG
rnacentral:rRNA from 1 species